GUAGCUAUAGUUUAGCAAAACACUAGAUUGUGAUUCUAGAAUCAGAAGUUAAACCCUUCUUAUCUACCGAAUAAGGUUGGAACACCAAGAACUGCUAAUUACUUGUCCCCGUGGUUCAAUUCCACGGCUUCUUCGGCU
rnacentral:tRNA from 1 species